CCCUUGUCUACUAAACCUCUGCCCCUGUUCUCACUCACACUCACUGACAGACAGACAGACACAGUAUCACUCUAACAGACACAUUCACUGACAGACACACGAACUGACAAACAGGCUCCCACACAGCCAGCCAGCCAUACACCCAAAACACACAGCCAGCCAGCCAUACACCCAAACACACACAGCCAUACACCCAAACACACACAGCCAGACAGCCAUACACCCAAAACACACAGACAGACAGCCAUACACCCAAAACACACAGACAGACAGCCAUGCACCCAUUUCCCCCAACACUGUUUUUAAAAUUAUUUUAAUUUAAAUCCACCCAGUGCCCUACCUUCAGGAGAGCUGGGUGGAUUUAUUACCUGGUGUCUAGUGGGGCUGCUGGGCAGGUGUACAUUUAGGCAGGCAAGAGGGCGGACAGGCAGUGAGGGAGCAUUGAUUUUGAGCUCUCUCUGCUCAGCUCCCUCGAGCGCCGCAGAGUAAUGCCGGGAGCCAGAGUGAUGUCAUAUUCCGGCUCCCGGCAUCACUGCGCAGGGAGACCAAUGUAAAUAAAUAUUGUGGGUUGGCGCUUUCUUA